rnacentral:rRNA from 1 species
GAUGAACGCUGGCGGCGUGCCUAAUACAUGCAAGUCGAGCGAACAGACGAGGAGCUUGCUCCUCUGACGUUAGCGGCGGACGGGUGAGUAACACGUGGAUAACCUCCCUAUAAGACUGGGAUAACUUCGGGAAACCGGCGCUAAUACCGGAUAAUAUAUUGAACCGCAUUGUUCAAUAGUGAAAGACGGUUUUGCUGUCACGUAUUGAUGGAUCCUCGCCGCAUUAGCUAGUUGGUAAGGUAACGGCCUACCAAGGCAACGAUGCAUAACCGACAUGAGAGGGUGUACCGCCACGAUGGAACUGAGACGCGUUCGAGACUCCUACGGGAAGCAGCCUAAGGGAAGCUUCCGCAAGGGUCGAAAGCCUGACGCAGUAACGCCGCGUGAGUAAUGAAGGACUUCGGAUCGUAACACUCUUUUAUUAGGGAAGAACAACUGUGUAAUUAACGAUGCACGUCUUGACGGUACCUACUCAGAAAGCCACGGCUAACUACGUG